CUGUCAUUUUCCACAUUCCCAGCUGCGGGAUUGUUUAGUCUUGUUGUUGAGUUUCGCCGCUGUGAUAAGGAGCAGGGUAAACACGGCCGGUGGGACCCGAGCGGGGUGCGCUCACACUGGGCUGACGGCCGGCCGACAACGCAGGCUGUGGCCCUCUCAACAAACACAGGCAGGUCAGGAAACAUCUGGGUGACUGAAAGCAACAGAUGCUGUAGCCCGAUAAGGGAAGCACUCUCCACCCCACUGAACCGGCCUCUCACACCUCCAGAACAAGCAGGACCAGGCCUCCAGCUUAUCGAGAUUUGGGAAAAAGUUACAAGAAAGAGUGGACAGUCUUAGCCUAGUAGCUCUUUACAGCCAAGGUCGUGAUCCCUGGGCCUGUUAAAGACCCCCUUGGGGUCGAGGCUGCAACCGGAUAUUUAAAAUAACAGUGUGAGGGUCCUGGUGGAGCCCCGUGCUGCGUGAGGAGGGAGCAGGAGAGGUUAGAGGUCAAGACACUGGCCAGCAUACAUCAACCAGUGCCAGCGCAGAGCCAACGACUCUAUCAGUGAUAAACAAAGAGAAGAAAUCCAGAACAAAUUAGUGCGAGAACAAUAAAACAAGCUGUUUAAAAUACAACUAGAGUCCAGAUUCGGAAAGAGUGUGUGCUGUGCCCUUCUCCAUUCACUCUCCUCCUCCUCCUCCUCCAUACACAGACCUGACACCCAGACUCUAACUCAUGUGUGCAGCUUGGGGCUCAUACUCCCCGAGCGAGAAACAGGGGUGACGGGGAGUUACUAUCCACCUUAAGGUGAAAGCCAUAUGUGCUGAUCUGAACAAUCUGAGGUCAUCUCUCACAGGGCAGUAAGUUACAGUUACCCUCAUGUAACUCGGGAAGCACUUGGGAAAACACUACUGCACCGCUGCAAAGAUGCAGUGAUAAACCUGAUCAGGAUUUCCACAUCAGUAUUUUUUUUUUAAUUUUUUUUGUAUAAACGUGAUCAUGUUUACAUUUAAAUGUUGCCAAUUCAUCCACAUUGUAAAUUUGUGCGUCUAGCUGAACUAAAAAAAAU
rnacentral:lncRNA from 1 species